AUUGACGGUAUUUAACCAGAAAGCCACGGCUAACUACGUGCCAGCAGCCGCGGUAAUACGUAGGUGGCAAGCGUUGUCCGGAUUUAUUGGGCGUAAAGCGAGCGCAGGCGGUUUUUUAAGUCUGAUGUGAAAGCCUUCGGCUCAACCGAAGAAGUGCAUCGGAAACUGGGAAACUUGAGUGCAGAAGAGGACAGUGGAACUCCAUGUGUAGCGGUGAAAUGCGUAGAUAUAUGGAAGAACACCAGUGGCGAAGGCGGCUGUCUGGUCUGUAACUGACGCUGAGGCUCGAAAGUAUGGGUAGCAAACAGGAUUAGAUACCCUGGUAGUCCAUACCGUAAACGAUGAAUGCUAAGUGUUGGAGGGUUUCCGCCCUUCAGUGCUGCAGCUAACGCAUUAAGCAUUCCGCCUGGGGAGUACGGCCGCAAGGCUGAAACUCAAAGGAAUUGACGGGGGCCCGCACAAGCGGUGGAGCAUGUGGUUUAAUUCGAAGCUACGCGAAGAACCUUACCAGGUCUUGACAUACUAUGCAAAUCUAAGAGAUUAGACGUUCCCUUCGGGGACAUGGAUACAGGUGGUGCAUGGUUGUCGUCAGCUCGUGUCGUGAGAUGUUGGGUUAAGUCCCGCAACGAGCGCAACCCUUAUUAUCAGUUGCCAGCAUUAAGUUGGGCACUCUGGUGAGACUGCCGGUGACAAACCGGAGGAAGGUGGGGAUGACGUCAAAUCAUCAUGCCCCUUAUGACCUGGGCUACACACGUGCUACAAUGGAUGGUACAACGAGUUGCGAACUCGCGAGAGUAAGCUAAUCUCUUAAAGCCAUUCUCAGUUCGGAUUGUAGGCUGCAACUCGCCUACAUGAAGUCGGAAUCGCUAGUAAUCGCGGAUCAGCAUGCCGCGGUGAAUACGUUCCCGGGCCUUGUACACACCGCCCGUCACACCAUGAGAGUUUGUAACACCCAAAGUCGGUGGGGUAACCUUUUAGGAACCAGCCGCCUAAGGUGGGACAGAUGAUUAGGGUGAAGUCGUAACAAGGUAGCCGUAGGAGAACCUGCGGCUGGAUCACCUCCUUUCUAAGGAA
rnacentral:rRNA from 1 species